CGAGCGAGGCCGGGGGGGCAACUCCCCGAGUCGAGCGGCGAACGGGUGAGUAACGCGUGGAUGACCUGCCCUUCAGUGGGGAACAACCCGGGGAAACUCGGGCUGAUACCGCAUAAGACCGUGAGGUGAAAGGGGCCCGCAAGGGUCUCGCUGAAGGAGGGGUCCGCGUCCGAUUAGCUGGUUGGUAGGGUAACGGCCUACCAAGGCGACGAUCGGUAGCCGGCCUGAGAGGGUGAUCGGCCACACUGGAACUGAGACACGGUCCAGACUCCUACGGGAGGCAGCAGUGGGGAAUUUUGCGCAAUGGGCGAAAGCCUGACGCAGCAACGCCGCGUGGAGGAUGAAGGUCUUUGGAUUGUAAACUCCUGUCAGCAGGGAAAAAGCGACCUGACCUCAUACGUCAGGGAGUUGAUUGUACCUGCCGAGGAAGCCCCGGCUAACUCUGUGCCAGCAGCCGCGGUAAUACAGAGGGGGCAAGCGUUAUUCGGAAUUAUUGGGCGUAAAGGGCGCGUAUGCGGCCUGGCAAGUGGUGGGUGAAAUCCCUCGGCUUAACCUAGGAACUGCCCCCCAAACUGCCUGGCUUGAGGCCGGGAGAGGCGAGUGGAAUUCCCAGUGUAGCGAUGAAAUGCGUAGAUAUUGGGAGGAACACCACUGUCGAAGGCGGCUCGCUGGACCGGUUCUGACGCUGAGGCGCAAACCUCUGUGGAGCAAACGGUAUUAGAU
rnacentral:rRNA from 1 species